rnacentral:rRNA from 1 species
AUUGAACGCUGGCGGCGUGCUUAACACAUGCAAGUCGAACGGCAGCACGGGUGCUUGCACCUGGUGGCGAGUGGCGAACGGGUGAGUAAUAUAUCGGAACGUACCUUAUUGUGGGGGAUAACGCAGCGAAAGCUGUGCUAAUACCGCAUAAUCCCUAAGGGGGAAAGCGGGGGACCGUAAGGCCUCGCGCAAUUAGAGCGGCCGAUACCUGAUUAGCUAGUUGGUGAGGUAAAGGCUCACCAAGGCAACGAUCAGUAGCUGGUCUGAGAGGACGAUCAGCCACACUGGGACUGAGACACGGCCCAGACUCCUACGGGAGGCAGCAGUGGGGAAUUUUGGACAAUGGGGGCAACCCUGAUCCAGCAAUGCCGCGUGAGUGAAGAAGGCCUUCGGGUUGUAAAGCUCUUUUGUCAGGGAAGAAACAGCAGCUCUAACACAGUAUGCGAAUGACGGUACCUGAAGAAUAAGCACCGGCUAACUACGUGCCAGCCGCCGCGGUAA